rnacentral:rRNA from 1 species
UACGUAGGUGACAAGCGUUGUCCGGAUUUAUUGGGCGUAAAGGGCGCGUAGGCGGCUCUGCACGUCCGUUGUGAAAUCGCCCGGCUCAACUGGGCGGGGUCAGCGGAUACGGCGGAGCUUGAGCAAGCUAGGGGGCAAUGGAAUUCCCGGUGUAGUGGUGGAAUGCGUAGAUAUCGGGAGGAACACCAGUGGCGAAGGCGGUUGCCCGGGGCUUUGCUGACGCUGAUGCGCGAAAGCGUGGGGAGCGAUCCGG